UCCCCCCGGCGGGGGGCGCCACCCCCGGGGGGGGGGCCCCGCGGGGGGGGGGUUUUUAAAAACCCACUUUUAUCCCCCCCCUUUUCCUUUUUUUUUUGGAAGAGGGGAUAGGCCCCAGAGAAAAAAUUUUGGGUUUUAAUUUUUUUAAAAACCCCCCCCAAAGGUUUCCCAUGUUUUUCAAGGUUAAAAAGUUUACGUAAAGGGAAUGGGCCAUGGUUCCUUAUUAAGUUUGUUUGGUGAAGGUAUUGGCUUCACCAAAGAUUUACGAUAGUACCGGGGUUUGGAGAGGAUUAUCCCCCCACAAUUGGUAUUGAGACACGGACCCAGACUCCUACGGGAGGCAGCAGUGAGGAAUAUGCGCAAAUGGACGAAAGUCUGACGCAGCCAUGCCGCGUGAGGAGCGGUGAGAUGAGCGUAGCGUGUACUCUUUUAUAUACCAAGAAACCUUCGGACGUGUCCGAAGCUGACGGUAGUAUAUGAAUAAGCACCGGCUAACUCCGUGCCAGCAGCCGCGGUAAUACGGAGGGUGCAAGCGUUAUCCGGAUUUAUUGGGUUUAAAGGGUCCGUAGGCGGAUCAUUAAGUCAGUGGUGAAAGCCGACAGCUCAACUGUCGAACUGCCAUUGAUACUGGUGAUCUUGAGUACGGUUGAAGUAGGCGGAAUAUGACAUGUAGCGGUGAAAUGCUUAGAUAUGUCAUAGAACACCGAUUGCGAAGGCAGCCUACUAAGCCGUUACUGACGCUGAGGGACGAAAGUGUGGGGAGCGAACAGGAUUAGAUACCCUGGUAGUCCACACCGUAAACGAUGAUUACUCGGUAUUGGCUUUAUUGUCAGUGCCCAAGCGAAAGUGAUAAGUAAUCCACCUGGGGAGUACGGCCGCAAGGUUGAAACUCAAAGGAAUUGACGGGGGCCCGCACAAGCGGUGGAGCAUGUGGUUUAAUUCGAUGAUACGCGAGGAACCUUACCAGGGCUUAAAUGUAGAACGACCGGGGUGGAAACACCCCCUUUUUCGAACGGUCUACAAGGUGCUGCAUGGUUGUCGUCAGCUCGUGCUGUGAAGUGUCGGGUUAAGUCCCAUAACGAGCGCAACCCCUAUUUCUAGUUGCCAGCGGUUCGGCCGGGGACUCUAGAGAAACUGCCAGCGUAAGCUGUGAGGAAGGUGGGGACGACGUCAAAUCAUCACGGCCCUUACGUCCUGGGCCACACACGUGCUACAAUGGUGGGGACAACGAGUUGCCAACCCGCAAGGGUGAGCUAAUCUCUCAAACCCCAUCUCAGUUCGGAUCGGAGUCUGCAACUCGACUCCGUGAAGUUGGAAUCGCUAGUAAUCGCGCAUCAGCCAUGNNCGUCGGAAUAGCGCC
rnacentral:rRNA from 1 species